rnacentral:sRNA from 1 species
AUCAUUAAUGAAUUUAAUUGACGGGGUUGUCGCUGGCCUUCACGGGCAUGUGCACGCUUUGUUUAAAUUAAUCCAUACACCUCUGUGCACUCUUCAUGGAAUUGGCUUAGUUUAAAGGGCUGUCUUUCGAUGGCUUGGGCCGUUCUAUGCAUAUUAUACGAACAUCUGUCUUCGAAUGUCUCUAUUGCGAAAUAUAACGCAUUUAAAUACAACUUUCAGCAACGGAUCUCUUGGCUCUCGCAUCGAUGAAGAACGCAGCGAAAUGCGAUAAGUAAUGUGAAUUGCAGAAUUCAGUGAAUCAUCGAAUCUUUGAACGCACCUUGCGCUCCUUGGUAUUCCGAGGAGCAUGCCUGUUUGAGUGUCAUGUUAAUCUCAACCCUGUCGGAUUUUUCUGGCUUGGGCUUGGACGUGGAGGCUGCUGGCAUUUUAUUGUCCGCUCCUCUUAAAUGUAUUAGCGUGAAUAUUCGCUGAAUGUUCUCCAGUGUGAUAAUUGUCAACGCUGCCAGGACUUUAGUGACAUCUUAUGUGUUCAUGCUUCGAAUCGUCCUGUUUUUCGGAACAGCACCUUUUUGCAUU